UACGUAGGGGGCUAGCGUUGUCCGGAUUUAUUGGGCGUAAAGAGCGUGUAGGCGGUCCGGUAGGUCCGCUGUGAAAGUCGGGGGCUCAACCCUCGGAUGCCGGUGGAUACUGUCGGGCUUGAGUACGGAAGAGGCGAGUGGAAUUCCUGGUGUAGCGGUGAAAUGCGCAGAUAUCAGGAGGAACACCAAUUGCGAAGGCAGCUCGCUGGGACGUUACUGACGCUGAGACGCGAAAGCGUGGGGAGCAAACAGG
rnacentral:rRNA from 1 species